rnacentral:misc_RNA from 1 species
CGCUUGCCAAGAAAUUCCUCGCAAGCUCCGGACUCGUUUAAUAGCCAAGCUUCCUCGAUAUUGAAUGAACCAGAGUUGUUUUCCUCCUCGUUUGAAACGUCUCAUCCACUAUUUUUCUACUGCCAUCUCGUUUCUUCGGUUAGAUUUUACAGGUUUAGUAAUUACGUGUUUCUUAAACGCAAACAGGGUACACGAACGCCGCCAAUUUUUUCAACGAAACGGCGAAGCGACUUCGUAAAAAGUCUGGGUCGUUCGAAGAAAUUCUCUGCGCGAGAUCGAGCUUUGUUUCUCUGUCGUGAAACCUUGGUCUCCCGCAACCCUUUUCUUUGUGUAAAGGUGACAAAACGCCACGAUUAAGAACAGCCAGUCCAGCGAGGGUUCAACCGGAUGGCUGAUGACACGCCCGAGACCUCUUUCGAAUUAACCAGAGGAGUAGAGGGUCGUUUUUCAGCUUGACCGUGCACGCAUCG